rnacentral:rRNA from 1 species
ACGGAAGGCAGCAGUCGGGAAUAUUGCGCAAUGGAGGAAACUCUGACGCAGUGACGCCGCGUGCAGGAAGAAGGUUUUCGGAUUGUAAACUGCUUUCGACAGGGAAGAACAAGGACAGUACCUGUAGAAUAAGCUUCGGCUAACUACGUGCCAGCAGCCGCGGUAAUACGUAGGGAGCCAGCGUUAUCCGGAUUUAUUGGGUGUAAAGGGUGCGUAGACGGGAAAGCAAGUUAGUUGUGAAAUCCCUCGGCUUAACUGAGGAACUGCAACUAAAACUACUUUUCUUGAGUGCUGGAGAGGAAAGUGGAAUUCCUAGUGUAGCGGUGAAAUGCGUAGAUAUUAGGAGGAAAACCAGUGGCGAGGGCGACUUUCUGGACAGUAACUGACGUUGAGGCACGAAAGUGUGGGGAGCAAACAGGAUUAGAUACCCUGGUA